ACAGCCUCUCUCCAUGCUGUUCCCUUCGCUAGCCCUGCGCAUCCCUUCAGGAAGUAGCUUUCAAUGACAGAAAACAGACAGAUGGCAACUGCGUCAUCCCAAGCUUGGCUGUGACGGGGCUGUGAAGCUGUUCCUGGGGUGCUGGAUUAAAGAUGUGGGCCACCAUGCCUACCGAGGUCCCAAGGAUUCCCGGUCAGGGAAAUCAUGGGAAGAGCCUCUGGGGAAGAAGCCAGGCCUCUGGGCUAGAAAGUGCCAGUCACACCUUACAACAG